rnacentral:rRNA from 1 species
CCUACGGGUGGCAGCAGUGGGGAAUAUUGGACAAUGGGCGCAAGCCUGAUCCAGCCAUGCCGCGUGAGUGAUGAAGGCCUUCGGGUUGUAAAGCUCUUUCGCGCGCGACGAUGAUGACGGUAGCGCGAGAAGAAGCCCCGGCUAACUUCGUGCCAGCAGCCGCGGUAAUACGAAGGGGGCUAGCGUUGUUCGGAGUUACUGGGCGUAAAGGGCGCGUAGGCGGCCCUCCAAGUCAGGCGUGAAAGCCCCGGGCUCAACCUGGGAACUGCGCUUGAGACUGGCGGGCUUGAGUUCCGGAGAGGUGGGUGGAAUUCCCAGUGUAGAGGUGAAAUUCGUAGAUAUUGGGAAGAACACCGGUGGCGAAGGCGGCCCACUGGACGGACACUGACGCUGAGGCGCGAAAGCGUGGGGAGCAAACAGGAUUAGAUACCCUAGUAGUC